UGAGACACAAGAAAAUCUGAUAAGAAUGCUGAAGAACAAGCACUAUAAUCUGCUAGAUUUCAACCGAGAUGCAUGUGCAUUUGGAAUGGAAUUUUGAGAACAUGUACGCUUCUAAUUUCAGCCGGGCAAUACGGGAAGGGCCACAUAAGCACGUUUGGCUAAUAGGGAAAUAACAUCAGGAGAAAGUUGGCUUAGAAGCACAGGAAUAAAUUUGGUAGCCUACCAUGUUUUAUUACAGCUAGAAGAAAGAAGAACAGGAAAGUUCAAGUUCUUGAUUGCAUAUGGUAGAGUAUCUAGACCACCAGAAUGGCAUUUCCUAUUUAAUUCAGUUCCAAGAAAACACUAGCUAAAACUUUUCAUCUAAAAGGAAAUUCAUAAACAGCACAUAAAGCUAUCCAUGCAAAUGAUAUAAGCAUUUAUGUAUGACAAAUAGAACUGUUACAAGGUAUUCAUGAAGAGGCUUGCAAUUCCAUUCGAAUAAGGAGGCUUGUGGUUAUUAGAAAAUG
rnacentral:lncRNA from 1 species